UUGUUAAUGCUAAUCGUGAUAGGGGUUUUUCUUUUUGACUUCGAACUGACUCCUACAUGUUAGCAUUAACAG
rnacentral:pre_miRNA from 15 species